GACGUAGGGCGCGAGCGUUGUCCGGAUUUAUUGGGCGUAAAGAGCUCGUAGGCGGCUUGUCGCGUCGUCCGUGAAAUUCCAUGGCUCAACUGUGGGCUUGCGGUCGAUACGGGCAGGCUGGAGUUCGGUAGGGGAGACGUGGAAUUCCUGGUGUAGCGGUGAAAUGCGCAGAUAUCAGGAGGAACACCGGUGGCGAAGGCGGGUCUCUGGGGCCGUAACUGGACGCUGGAGGA
rnacentral:rRNA from 1 species